rnacentral:rRNA from 1 species
UGGGGAAUUUUGGACAAUGGGCGAAAGCCUGAUCCAGCAAUGCCGCGUGCAGGAUGAAGGCCUUCGGGUUGUAAACUGCUUUUGUACGGAACGAAAAAGCUCCUUCUAAUACAGGGGGCCCAUGACGGUACCGUAAGAAUAAUCACCGGCUAACUACGUGCCAGCAGCCGCGGUAAUACGUAGGGUGCGAGCGUUAAUCGGAAUUACUGGGCGUAAAGCGUGCGCAGGCGGUUAUGUAAGACAGAUGUGAAAUCCCCGGGCUCAACCGGGGAACUGCAUUUGUGACUGAAUGGCUAGAGUACGGUAGAGGGGGAUGGAAUUCCGCGUGUAGCAGUGAAAUGCGUAGAUAUGCGGAGGAACACCGAUGGCGAAGGCAAUCCCCUGGACCUGUACUGACGCUCAUGCACGAAAGCGUGGGGAGCAAACAGG